GCAUGAUUUGACAUUUGACUCCCAUUAAAAUAAAAAGUCAAAAGUACACCGCACGUGAUCAUCCCAAAACGGAAAUAAUCCGGUGUAGGUGAAUCGCACCGUAAAUUCUAAUUCACUUGGCGAGUGAUUAGAAAAUAUUAACGACCCAAUCCCGAGGGUCCACCUGCCAGGUACCGUGGCUUCCCCCAGGUGGUGGACCCCAUAUCCCGAUCAAUCGCUCCUUUCGUCGGUGGUUUCCGAACUGUUCAUCGUUUCGCAAACCACCCACAUACAGAGUAAUUUUUAAAGAAAAAACAUUAGUUUUUGAAAUAAAGUGUACGAAUGGCUAACGUGCGCACCUGACCGCGGUUUCCUCGAACCGUUUCAGUGGCUGACGUUGGCGGAUGACGUGAAGGUCGCCACCGGGACAGAACUCGGUCAGCAAACAGAGCCAUCUCUGCGAAUCUAUACUCGCAUAGAGUGCGGGCAAGAAAGGAUGAUCCAACAUUUCCAAAAUUUCCUUCUCGGUCCUAGCCCUGCCUUCCUUGCUCCUACUCACCAACUCCUUCUUAUCCAUAACCUUCGCCGCGAAAAGAGAAGAAUCAGUCGUUGUCACAGUAGACUCAGGUUUCUUCAACUCGGCCAGGUAAACGGAGCCAAUGUCCCCGGAGCCGAGGCGUACGGAGAAGCGGAGAUCAGAAAGAGAGAGGGACUGCUGGUGUUUCGCGGACUUAGAAGAGAAGGAGGUGUGAGUGGAGGGAGCUGGAGUAAGUGUGGCGGACGAGGACCCGGAGCUUGUGGUACGGUGGAGAGUGGUGGCUGUAAUAGUGGUAGUAGCGGUGGAGGCAAAACUCAGGCUUUGUAGGUCGUCGGCCAAGUCGUCAAGCCAUGGCUCCAUUG
rnacentral:misc_RNA from 1 species